rnacentral:rRNA from 1 species
AACCUGGUUGAUCCUGCCAGUAGUCAUAUGCUUGUCUCAAAGAUUAAGCCAUGCAUGUCUAAGAGUAACCCCAGUAAGGGGAAGUCUGCGAAUGGCUCAUUAAAUCAGUUAUAGUUUAUUUGGAUGUGGGCUUGCUACACGGAUAACUGUGGCAAUUCUAGAGCUAAUACGUGCUAAGUCCCCAACUUCGCGGAAGGGGUGUAUGUGUUAGGUAUUCAACUGGCUUGCUAGUUGAUUCAUAACAACCUUAACUGACCGCAUAGCCUUGCGCUGGCGGCGUCGCAUUCAAAUUUCUGAUCUAUCAACUUGAAGGUAGGAUAGAGGCCUACCUUGGUUGUAACGUAUGACGGGGAAUUAGGGUUCGGUUCCGGAGAGGGCGCCU